CAAACUCCCGCCUAGUUGCCGUCGCUCCGCCCAGGAGCUUCACGUGUUCUGAAGCUGCGGGCGGAGGUGGGGCGUGGCUGGGCACCUUUCUGAGGGCGCCGGCUGGUGGCAUGUGGGCCGCCGCGACAGUUUAUCUGCUCGCACAAACUGGGGGAAACACUUCUUUCCCACGUCAGAUGUUUCUUGAAGUACGGAGCGGGUGCCGCUAACAUGACACUGAUCCUCUAUUCCAGCACUGCUAGCAAGUUCCCUAAUGUGGCAUUCUGCGAGCAAAAUCUGCUUUUCCAGUGGCCCCUGGAGAUCCCCCAAAAGAGGUGAAAUCAGUGUUCGAGAAAUGGCCUUAUGAAGAGGGGAGCAGGACAACCUUAACUGACUCCUGACUUCUUACCCACGAGGGAUACCAUAUCCGAAGCUGAUCUCAGAGGAUUUGAUGACUUCAGCCAGCUGGCGGAAAGAAGGGAGUGGAUGAAAUAAACUCACACGGCAGUGGCAGACUGCUUGAAGACUCACUGCAUUCACAGACUAUCCCAAGGACAUUUACAUUUUAAGACAGCGCUUGUUAGGCUAAAGAAGUAGUCUGUAAUACUGGAUACCAGGCACUUUUAAAGCACAGUGAGGGGAAAUUUGGGGCAGAGGGACCUUUAAAUCACACCCCCAGGGCCAUAGUUCACUCUGCUACCUGAGGUUAGCUGUUGAUCUUAGAAACGUGUUCAGCCAAGAAGGCCAGGGAAAUAUGCUUUGGUCUGGUUAAAGGGCAAGUCCUGGCCUUUCUCCCCACCCUCCUCAUCUCCUUGGCCUCCUGCAGGGUGUUACUUGAGUGCACUUUCUGCAGAGUGGGUUGCCAGGGCAGCAAAUGCAUCCCCUGUCAGCGAGGGCCCACCCCAGCAGAGCCGGGAGCUGCACAAACCCACACACAGUUGGGGUCCUCACAUUGUCUUUCUUCAAGGCUGUUGACUUGUGGACUAAGUGGGUGUGGGUUACAGCCCUUUCACGUAGACAGACCCAAGAACCUUUGGCACGAGCUCUUAUCACCAUGUAAAGGUGAAAAAUUGAUUGGGAGAAAAUGUGGCACUUUAUGGUGCCUCGUGUCAGUUGAAAGUUUAGUCUGUAUCACCAAAAUAAUAUGCAAAUCCACAUCCAGGCGGGCUUUUUUCCCCCCUUCAUUAGAGGAUUCUGCAUUAGGAAAUAAAAAUCUUUUACAGCGUAAAUGCAAAAGAAUAACAGAGCAAGCACCGCAUACCCUUGCCCCUAAGCCUAGAUACAAAUUAGUCACUCAUCAAGCUGUGUGGUGACACGGUCUGCUUCCUGCUCAUCCUUGGGUCCUUGGGUAUUGUGACUGCUUGGUGAUGGGACAGACCUACAGAGACAAGGUUGGACGUGGCUGUCUGGCAUUUUAUUUUCCACCCCAUCUCCACACAUUUAUACUUCCCACAUUAAAUAAAAAUCUGAAGUGUUGGCAACAGAAAUGUGAUGGGCCUGAUUUCCCUCAUCUCCGAGGUGUAUGAGAUGAUACUGAAGAACCCCUUUGGCUCAAGAUCAAUGAUUUAAACAUUCCAAAAGACUUGUUUUCCUGAGGGCCUUUAAUUUAGUGUAGUGCUUUGAGUGACUCCUUUGUGUUAGAGUGUUUGAAAUGACUCAUUCUUCAACUGAAUUGGAAGAAACAAAUACAGAUAUGUUAUUAUGGAAUAGGGAAAAGUUUAUCAGUAAUAACUGAUGCUUUCUGGGUGCUAGUCUCUGUUCUGAGUGUUUUACAUGUAUUUUGUUUCUAGUUCUCACAGCAGCCUCAUGAAUGGUUGCCCUUUUUGUGGCUGUCCUGAGAUGGAGAAACUGAACUGAAGGUGUUUGGGGUGACUUCCCCAGGGUUCUACACUGGCUAGCUGUGCUACUGGGCUGGGGACCUCGGGCAGCGUUACUCCCCCGUCUUCACGCUUAGUUACAGGGCCAUACUGCCUCCCCAGCAAACACCAAACAGGGGCCUAGAAGAGUGGUCUGCCACCUGGCAGGACAGGUCUCCUCUAGGAUUAUGGGAAGGGAGCCAAAGAGAACUUUUGCCUUAUGUGUAUCACUUGAAUUUCUAUGUAUAAUGAUAAUGUGUUCACGAAUUACUUAAUGCAGUUGAAAUUGUGUCCAAGUCUAAAAUUGCCAAAGUCCUAAGUCAAGUUAUUAAUUUCCGUAAAUUCACAGCUACUUUAAAAUUUUUCUUCCAUUAGAAUCUUAAAGGUAGUGGGGAACCUAGAGGUCAUUUAACAAGAUCUCCUCG